GGCAGUGUGUGUGGGAGAAAGCACCUGGCCCAGUCGGAGAUGCAGCCGCUCCAGCAGCCUGGGCCCAGCUGGGUCAAAGGCUUCUUGGCUAAGCUUAGGGGAUACAUCUGCCCCUGGAAGUAUAGCCAGAACCACCAAACUACCGAGCCACCCAUCCACAGACUCCCAGCUUCCUCAGUGCUUAGAAUGCAGCCAUACUGCCAUUGUUACCCUGCAGCGGAUGGAAUGAAUGGAGGAAUAGAAGCGAAACGUUGGAAUUCCUCAGCUGAGCGGCUAAGGGGAAAAACUGAAGAGAAGCUAGAAUCCCCUGUACAAAAAUAAAAAGAAUCACUCCAGAACAUUGAAUAAUUGAAUAUGGGUCGAAGCAAAUGCUAGGAUAUGAUUGGCAAACAUCAGAGGACAGAGAUUCUAUUUGUAAUUCUCAAUCCUCUAAUUUGAACCCUGAAUACGAUUGGCCAGGACUGAUGCUAGUUGACCUCAGCAGCAGGAAACACAUACAUAAAAUAGUCCAGACCUAUGAGCCUGUGACCUUAAAUCAUGAAAUGUUCCUCACUUAUAAAAACAAUGUCAGAAGAAGUGCAAC
ensembl:lncRNA